UACAGAGGGUGCGAGCGUUAAUCGGAAUUACUGGGCGUAAAGCGCGCGUAGGCGGUUUUGUAAGUCUGUCGUGAAAUCCCCGGGCUCAACCUGGGAAUGGCGAUGGAGACUGCAAGGCUAGAGUUUGGCAGAGGGGGGGUAGAAUUCCACGUGUAGCAGUGAAAUGCGUAGAUAUGUGGAGGAACACCGAUGGCGAAGGCAGCCCCCCUGGGUCAAGACUGACGCUCAUGCACGAAAGCGUGGGGAGCAAACAGG
rnacentral:rRNA from 1 species